rnacentral:rRNA from 1 species
UCGAACGGUAACAGGAAGCAGCUUGCUGCUUUGCUGACGAGUGGCGGACGGGUGAGUAAUGUCUGGGAAACUGCCUGAUGGAGGGGGAUAACUACUGGAAACGGUGGCUAAUACCGCAUAACGUCGCAAGACCAAAGAGGGGGACCUUCGGGCCUCUUGCCAUCAGAUGUGCCCAGAUGGGAUUAGCUUGUUGGUGAGGUAACGGCUCACCAAGGCGACGAUCCCUAGCUGGUCUGAGAGGAUGACCAGCCACACUGGAACUGAGACACGGUCCAGACUCCUACGGGAGGCAGCAGUGGGGAAUAUUGCACAAUGGGCGCAAGCCUGAUGCAGCCAUGCCGCGUGUAUGAAGAAGGCCUUCGGGUUGUAAAGUACUUUCAGCGGGGAGGAAGGUGUUGUGGUUAAUAACCGCAGCAAUUGACGUUACCCGCAGAAGAAGCACCGGCUAACUCCGUGCCAGCAGCCGCGGUAAUACGGAGGGUGCAAGCGUUAAUCGGAAUUACUGGGCGUAAAGCGCACGCAGGCGGUCUGUCAAGUCGGAUGUGAAAUCCCCGGGCUCAACCUGGGAACUGCAUUCGAAACUGGCAGGCUUGAGUCUUGUAGAGGGGGGUAGAAUUCCAGGUGUAGCGGUGAAAUGCGUAGAGAUCUGGAGGAAUACCGGUGGCGAAGGCGGCCCCCUGGACAAAGACUGACGCUCAGGUGCGAAAGCGUGGGGAGCAAACAGGAUUAGAUACCCUGGUAGUCCACGCCGUAAACGAUGUCUACUUGGAGGCUGUGCCCUUGAGGCGUGGCUUCCGGAGCUAACGCGUUAAGUAGACCGCCUGGGGAGUACGGCCGCAAGGUUAAAACUCAAAUGAAUUGACGGGGGCCCGCACAAGCGGUGGAGCAUGUGGUUUAAUUCGAUGCAACGCGAAGAACCUUACCUGGUCUUGACAUCCACAGAAGUUUGCAGAGAUGCGAAUGUGCCUUCGGGAACUGUGAGACAGGUGCUGCAUGGCUGUCGUCAGCUCGUGUUGUGAAAUGUUGGGUUAAGUCCCGCAACGAGCGCAACCCUUAUCCUUUGUUGCCAGCGGUUAGG